rnacentral:lncRNA from 1 species
AUUAUAUAUGUUGAAGUGUCCACUUAAAAGUCGCAUGGAUUGAGCAAAAAAAUCUCAAUCAAAAUCUAUAGCAGGCCCCAAGUCCAGCCUUCACCAAGCUCACCACACAUCAUGGGUUGGCCCAAUGACAUCAUCAUCCUCAUCUCGAUCGACGUAGCCGGAUUCCACUAGCCCAAAUCCAGGCCCAUGCCCAGUCUCUCGAGGCAUCACUCAUCCCUCCGUCCUCUCAGCCGUCUCAGCUGACUGUAGUAAGUAAAGGUAAGCUUUCUUGUUUCGCUCGCUAUCACGCUUGUCGUCGGAAGAAACUAUAAACAGUGGCAAACAUCAUCAAUAUCGCUGCUGCCCAUCCUCAAACCGUCGGAACCCUCAGCCAUGCAUUGCACGAUGCCACUUUCUGAUGUCAAUAUGUGUGGUCACCGUCGUUGACUCUAAUAUGUUCGCCGGAGAGAGCUAUUGAUGAUUUCCCAUCAGCAUCGGACCGAAACAGAGGGUUUCCGUCGAUGUCAUCGCUAUCUUCGUCAUCGGAAGG